rnacentral:rRNA from 1 species
GAUGAACGCUGGCGGCGUGCCUAAUACAUGCAAGUCGAGCGAACGGACGAGAAGCUUGCUUCUCUGAUGUUAGCGGCGGACGGGUGAGUAACACGUGGAUAACCUACCUAUAAGACUGGGAUAACUUCGGGAAACCGGAGCUAAUACCGGAUAAUAUUUUGAACCGCAUGGUUCAAAAGUGAAAGACGGUCUUGCUGUCACUUAUAGAUGGAUCCGCGCUGCAUUAGCUAGUUGGUAAGGUAACGGCUUACCAAGGCAACGAUGCAUAGCCGACCUGAGAGGGUGAUCGGCCACACUGGAACUGAGACACGGUCCAGACUCCUACGGGAGGCAGCAGUAGGGAAUCUUCCGCAAUGGGCGAAAGCCUGACGGAGCAACGCCGCGUGAGUGAUGAAGGUCUUCGGAUCGUAAAACUCUGUUAUUAGGGAAGAACAUAUGUGUAAGUAACUGUGCACAUCUUGACGGUACCUAAUCAGAAAGCCACGGCUAACUACGUGCCAGCAGCCGCGGUAAUACGUAGGUGGCAAGCGUUAUCCGGAAUUAUUGGGCGUAAAGCGCGCGUAGGCGGUUUUUUAAGUCUGAUGUGAAAGCCCACGGCUCAACCGUGGAGGGUCAUUGGAAACUGGAAAACUUGAGUGCAGAAGAGGAAAGUGGAAUUCCAUGUGUAGCGGUGAAAUGCGCAGAGAUAUGGAGGAACACCAGUGGCGAAGGCGACUUUCUGGUCUGUAACUGACGCUGAUGUGCGAAAGCGUGGGGAUCAAACAGGAUUAGAUACCCUGGUAGUCCACGCCGUAAACGAUGAGUGCUAAGUGUUAGGGGGUUUCCGCCCCUUAGUGCUGCAGCUAACGCAUUAAGCACUCCGCCUGGGGAGUACGACCGCAAGGUUGAAACUCAAAGGAAUUGACGGGGACCCGCACAAGCGGUGGAGCAUGUGGUUUAAUUCGAAGCAACGCGAAGAACCUUACCAAAUCUUGACAUCCUUUGACAACUCUAGAGAUAGAGCCUUCCCCUUCGGGGGACAAAGUGACAGGUGGUGCAUGGUUGUCGUCAGCUCGUGUCGUGAGAUGUUGGGUUAAGUCCCGCAACGAGCGCAACCCUUAAGCUUAGUUGCCAUCAUUAAGUUGGGCACUCUAAGUUGACUGCCGGUGACAAACCGGAGGAAGGUGGGGAUGACGUCAAAUCAUCAUGCCCCUUAUGAUUUGGGCUACACACGUGCUACAAUGGACAAUACAAAGGGCAGCGAAACCGCGAGGUCAAGCAAAUCCCAUAAAGUUGUUCUCAGUUCGGAUUGUAGUCUGCAACUCGACUACAUGAAGCUGGAAUCGCUAGUAAUCGUACAUCAGCAUGCUACGGUGAAUACGUUCCCGGGUCU